UACGUAGGGUGCGAGCGUUGUCCGGAAUUAUUGGGCGUAAAGAGCUCGUAGGCGGUUUGUCACGUCUGCUGUGAAAUCCCGAGGCUCAACCUCGGGCCUGCAGUGGGUACGGGCAGACUGGAGUGCGGUAGGGGAGAAUGGAAUUCCUGGUGUAGCGGUGGAAUGCGCAGAUAUCAGGAAGAACACCGAUGGCGAAGGCAGCUCUCUGGGACGGUACUGACGCUGAGACGCGAAAGCGUGGGGAGCGAACAGG
rnacentral:rRNA from 1 species